rnacentral:rRNA from 1 species
GACGAACGCUGGCGGCGUGCUUAACACAUGCAAGUCGAACGGAAAGGCCCUGCUUUUGUGGUAUGCUCGAGUGGCGAACGGGUGAGUAACACGUGAGUAAUCUGCCCGUGACUUUGGGAUAACUUCAGGAAACUGGGGCUAAUACCGGAUAGGAUCUCCUGCUGCAUGGUGGGGGUGGGAAAGUUUCGGCGGUUGGGGAUGGACUCGCGCCUUAUCAGCUUGUUGGUGGGGUAGUGGCUUACCAAGGCUUUGACGGGUAGCCGGCCUGAGAGGGUGACCGGCCACAUUGGGACUGAGAUACGGCCCAGCCUCCUACGGGAGGCAGAAGUGGGGAAUAUUGCACAAUGGGCGGAAGCCUGAUGCAGCAACGCCGCGUGCGGGAUGACGGCCUUCGGGUUGUAAACCGCUUUCGUCUGUGCCGAAGCGUGAGUGACGGUAAUGGGUAAAGAAGCACCGGCUAACUACGUG